UACGAAGGGGGCUAGCGUUGCUCGGAAUCACUGGGCGUAAAGGGUGCGUAGGCGGGUCUUUAAGUCAGAGGUGAAAUCCUGGAGCUCAACUCCAGAACUGCCUUUGAUACUGAGGAUCUUGAGUUCGGGAGAGGUGAGUGGAACUGCGAGUGUAGAGGUGAAAUUCGUAGAUAUUGGGAAGAACACCGGUGGCGAAGGCGGCUCUCUGGACCGAUACUGACGCUGAGGCGCGAAAGCGUGGGGAGCAAACAGG
rnacentral:rRNA from 1 species